rnacentral:rRNA from 1 species
GAUGAACGCUGGCGGCGUGCUUAACACAUGCAAGUCGAACGAUGAAGCCCAGCUUGCUGGGUGGAUUAGUGGCGAACGGGUGAGUAACACGUGAGUAACCUGCCCUUGACUCUGGGAUAAGCCUGGGAAACUGGGUCUAAUACCGGAUAGGAACGUCCACCGCAUGGUGGGUGUUGGAAAGAUUUAUCGGUCAUGGAUGGACUCGCGGCCUAUCAGCUUGUUGGUGAGGUAAUGGCUCACCAAGGCGACGACGGGUAGCCGGCCUGAGAGGGUGACCGGCCACACUGGGACUGAGACACGGCCCAGACUCCUACGUGAGGCAGCAGUGGGGAAUAUUGCACAAUGGGCGAAAGCCUGAUGCAGCGACGCCGCGUGAGGGAUGACGGCCUUCGGGUUGUAAACCUCUUUCAGUAGGGAAGAAGCGAAAGUGACGGUACCUGCAGAAGAAGCACCGGCUAACUACGUG